UUCAUGACAUGUCUUUUCCCUCCACGCCUCCUGAGAUGGACGUGCUCACCUGGGCCUCGGAAAUCCCACACUCUUCAGUCGGCAAACUGCGAACAAGAACAGGAAAUCUGCCACGCAGCAAACACUUGGGGAGCCCUGAAGCUCAGCACUCCGGGGGGUCUUCACACGGGCAGGUCCUGGAGGGAAGGAGGAGGCCACCGCGCCCACCUCCCAUCUGAAGGCACAGCACCGCAGUGGUGGCCUGUGCCAGAGGAGGGGGUGAAGGAUGGAAUGUCCUCAUGGUGAGUGCUGUCAGAGGCAGGCCUGAACGAGAAGACAGGCCGUGGCAACGGUCCCGAGGCUGUGAGUCUAGGCAGCCUGCCUCCGGGACCCCCAAAGCCAGGCGGUGCACCACAGCACACACCGUGGGACCUUUGCUUUUCACUCAGGAAAAGAAAGAACAUGUGAGUGCUUCUGAAAACACAGCAAGAGGACUUGAGCACAAGCUAAAGGAAAAACAACCCUAUAUAGUUUCUUCGAGUGAGAAAAAUAAUGCCAAACAAAAUAAUUUUAUGUAACUACCUCGAUAUGUCUCUGACUACUUAAAAAUUUGGUUACCCACGCGGGGAGGUGUAAGCAGCACACUGCAGUUAGGAACACCGCCUCCAGUGUUAGCAGCAAAGGCAGGAGCCCAGCUCCAGCCCGUCCAGGAGGGGUCAGCAGGAGCGGCCGGGCUGGGCCAUGGGCAGAACAGGACGGGCAGAGCCCGGGGUGGACGUGGCAGCCCAAGGCUCUCCGAGGAAGUGCACACGACUGAGCCGAGGCCCUUGCAGAGGGAACCUGGUGUGGCCUGAAGUGGUGGGGGGCACAGGGCUGAGGGUCCCCUCCUGGAAGGAGCCCCCAGGGCUGUGUCCACCUAAGAUAGCACCUGGAGCCCUCGGCCUCCAGCAGGGUCUGCAGCUGUGUUGUGUGUUAAGCACCAAAGCCCAGAGGUAAGACGGUGGCAGGGCUCUCUGUGCACCUGGAUUCUACAGGCUGCCAUGGGCCACGGCUGCACCACGGGCCACGGCUGCAGCCACAGGCAGUGACCUGGCUGCUAGGGGAGGGGAGGGCGGGCUCCAGCCGGGCUGACCGGGUGUCUGUAAAACUCUGCACCUGCUCAGGCCAGGGGCCUCUGGGCCGAACACACCACCCCGCCCAGUGCCCACUGGACCCGGCCACAGGCCCAUCACGUGUCCAAGCCAGGCUGGCCAUCACAGGGGCCACUCACACACCCGCACCACCUGCUGGGGACUUAGGACCGUGCUCUCCCUUCACUCAAACCCACCCUGUGCCCUCCCCCAACUCACUUCAUGUCUGGUCCCAGAGCACCCCUCUUGCUGGGGUCGCACCUGCUUAGCCCGCAGGGCUGGUUUCCGUGGGGGGUGGGUUCAGGGGGAAGCAGAGGAGGGGCCGCGAGAGGGGUGAGCGUGGCCCUGGCCCCGCAGUGGAGACCCACCGGACACACACACGGGUGGACGGAGCGAGGCAGCCACCGACCCUGCCGGCGGGCGGGCCUAGGAGAGCCAGGCGAAGUCCUUGUCAGGGCCUCCUGGGGGGCUGCGCGGCCGCGGCGAGUCUUCCUCAUCCUUGUCGUCCGCCAACAGCGCAUCCUCAGGGGCCAGGCCCUCGUCGUCCUCGCCCAGCUCCUCCGCCUCCCCUCGUGGGUCCUCAGGGUCCUCCAGAUAGGGCCCGUCGCCUGGGAACAGCGCCUCUGGAGAGCCCUCGCCGCCUCCGCCGCCAUGGUCCAGGGGCCCGGCCAUGCCGCGGCCAGCACAGUCGGUGCACACACCGUGGCGCCUGGAGCCAUGCCUGAUGCCCACGCUGGCGGCGGACAUGAAGACGCGGCUGCACACCUUGCACACAUACUUCUUGUCCUUGC
rnacentral:lncRNA from 1 species